rnacentral:rRNA from 1 species
UACGUAGGGUGCAAGCGUUGUUCGGAAUCAUUGGGCGUAAAGCGUGUGUAGGUGGCUUGCUAAGUUGAUUGUGAAAUCCCUGGGCUCAACCGAGGAAGUGCAGUCAAAACUAGUAGGCUAGAGGACAGCAGAGGAAGGUGGAAUUCCAAGUGUAGAGGUGAAAUUCGUAGAUAUUUGGAGGAAUACCGGCGGCGAAGGCGGCCUUCUGGACUGUUCCUGACACUGAGACACGAAAGCGUGGGUAGCAAACAGG